AACCUCCGCAAUGUGAGAAAUCGCGACGGGGGGAUCCCAAGUGCCAUUCUUAACGGGAUGGCUUUUCAUUAGUGUAAAGAGCUUUUGGAAUAAGAGCUGGGCAAGACCAGUGCCAGCCGCCGCGGUAACACCGGCAGCUCUAGUGGUAGCAAUUUUUAUUGGGCCUAAAGCGUCCGUAGCCGGUUUAAUAAGUCUCUGGUGAAAUCCUGUAGCUUAACUGUGGGAAUUGCUGGAGAUACUAUUAGACUUGAGACCGGGAGAGGUUAGAGGUACUCCCAGGGUAGAGGUGAAAUUCUGUAAUCCUGGGAGGACCGCCUGUUGCGAAGGCGUCUAACUGGAACGGUUCUGACGGUGAGGGACGAAAGUUAGGGCGCGAACCGGAUUAGAUACCCGGGUAGUCCUAACUGUAAACGAUGCGGACUUGGUGGUUGGGUGGCUUUGAGCUGUCUCAGUGCCGAAGGGAAGCUGUUAAGUCCGCCGCCUGGGAAGUACGGUCGCAAGACUGAAGCUUAAAGGAAGU
rnacentral:rRNA from 1 species